rnacentral:piRNA from 1 species
UAGGCCUUCUAGAAAAAAAGAUAAGG